UUAACCGUAAAAUAUCAACCUACACCGAAAUCGCCAGGGAAUUACGAGCCCAAGCUUAAAACCCAAAGGACUUGACGGUUUUUCAUCCCCCUAGAGGAGCCUGUUCUAUAAUCGAUUUUCCCCGAUCAACCUCACCCCCUCUUGAAUUUACAGCCUGUAUACCUCCGUCGCAAGCUUACCCUGUGAGCGCAUACUUAGUGAGCCUAAAGAUUUUACAUCUAUACGUCAGGUCAAGGUGCAGUCCACGAGGCGGAAAGAAAUGGGCUACAAUUUCUACCUUAGAACAAACGAAAGACUACAUGAAACAUAGUCCAAAGGCGGAUUUAGAAGUAAAAGGAAAAUAGAGAGUUCCUUUUAAUCGGGCACUGAAAUGCGUACACACCGCCCGUCACCCUCUUCAGAUAACAAAUAAUGUCACUGACACCACACACCCUCAUAGAAGAGGCAAGUCGUAACAUGGUAAGCGUACUGGAAAGUGCACUUGGAAACAAAAUGUAACUUAAUAAAAGUGUCUUGCUUACACCAAGAAUAUGUCUGUAAAACCCAAACCAUUUUGAGCUUAAAACCUAGUCCUAUUCUUAUAUAAUAAAACAUAUCCACCAAUAAAACAAACUAAAACAUUUUCCUAACCUAGUAAAGGUGAUUAAAAAGUGCCUAGGAGCCUAAACAUUAGUACCGCAAGGGAAAAGUGAAAUAAAAAUGAAAUAAAUUUAAAGCACCAUAAAGUAAAGAUAUGCCCUUGU
rnacentral:rRNA from 1 species